rnacentral:snRNA from 1 species
GACUAUGAGGGUGCUCUGACAUCAACAUCUGUCAUUUCAUUGACUGCCAAGGUUGAUUUGUCUGAUAUGGCUAGCUGUGAGGUGUCUCCAUCCCUCACCACUUUGGCUGUUCCUCAUGAAGAGAAAAAGACAACUUUCCAGGCAGAGGAGGGCUGCCCUUUGGUCAAGAUUUUAUCAGUGUAAGAAACCAGGUAAUUAUUCAAAUUCUGAUUCUUUUAAUUUAAUUUUAAUUUUUAGUUAAUUUUUCUU